UACGGAGGGUGCAAACGUUGCUCGGAAUCAUUGGGCGUAAAGGGUCUGUAGGUGGCCCACUAAGUCAAACGUGAAAUCCCUCAGCUUAACUGGGGAACUGCGUCUGAUACUGGAUGGCUCGAGUGUGGGAGAGGAAUGCGGAAUUCCAGGUGUAGCGGUGAAAUGCGUAGAGAUGUGGAAGAACACCAAUGGCGAAGGCAGCUCGCUAGGACGGUACUGACGCUGAGGCGCGAAAGCGUGGGGAGCAAACAGG
rnacentral:rRNA from 1 species